rnacentral:rRNA from 1 species
UGGGGAAUAUUGCACAAUGGGCGCAAGCCUGAUGCAGCCAUGCCGCGUGUGUGAAGAAGGCCUUCGGGUUGUAAAGCACUUUCAGCGGGGAGGAAGGCGUUAAGGUUAAUAACCUUGGCGAUUGACGUUACCCGCAGAAGAAGCACCGGCUAACUCCGUGCCAGCAGCCGCGGUAAUACGGAGGGUGCAAGCGUUAAUCGGAAUUACUGGGCGUAAAGCGCACGCAGGCGGUUUGUUAAGUCAGAUGUGAAAUCCCCGGGCUCAACCUGGGAGCUGCAUCUGAUACUGGCAAGCUUGAGUCUCGUAGAGGGGGGUAGAAUUCCAGGUGUAGCGGUGAAAUGCGUAGAGAUCUGGAGGAAUACCGGUGGCGAAGGCGGCCCCCUGGACGAAGACUGACGCUCAGGUGCGAAAGCGUGGGGAGCAAACAGG